GACGAACGCUGGCGGCAUGCCUAACACAUGCAAGUCGAACGAGACCUUCGGGUCUAGUGGCGCACGGGUGCGUAACGCGUGGGAACCUGCCCUUAGGUUCGGAAUAACUCCCCGAAAGGGGUGCUAAUACCGGAUAAUGUCUUCGGACCAAAGAUUUAUCGCCUUUGGAUGGACCCGCGUUGGAUUAGAUAGUUGGUAGGGUAAAAGCCUACCAAGGCGACGAUCCAUAGCUGGUCUGAGAGGAUGAUCAGCCACACUGGGACUGAGACACGGCCCAGACUCCUACGGGAGGCAGCAGUGGGGAAUAUUGGACAAUGGGCGAAAGCCUGAUCCAGCAAUGCCGCGUGAGUGAUGAAGGCCUUAGGGUUGUAAAGCUCUUUUAACCGGGAUGAUAAUGACAGUACCGGGAGAAUAAGCUCCGGCUAACUCCGUG
rnacentral:rRNA from 1 species